rnacentral:lncRNA from 1 species
GAAGCACCCACCUGUCGCUGUCGUGUCAGAACACUCGAUGCGCACGGAGUCUACCAGACCUAAGAAGAUCCACCAAAUCAGUAUCCAACCCACUAACUCAAAGCACGAGACUCACAAACCCCCACACAAGUCCCCGAAAUUGGUUUCCCAAAACCGAUCACCGCAACUCACCGGAAGUCCCGAAAAUCACACCGGGACGCCAUCGGAACCCACUAAGUGUUCCGAAAUUCACCAACUCAUCUCAUGAGUCACCCGCUGCCACAAAACAAUCCAAUUUGGAUGUCUUGGCAGCAAACACGAGGUAACACCACUACACAAUUAUUGUCGGAUAAUUGUACGAAUCCGGAUUCCCGGAAGUGUUUAUUUCGACACCGGAACCCACCGUCGCUCACCCAUCAUCACUGAACCCACAGCAUGAUGAUGGUGACCUCAGCGACAAUUCACAGGACAACCAAACGACGUCGGAAGAAAUCUGAACCGAAACCCCGUUCUUUCGGCGAAUUUCGCCGAAAAACGCACCAAAAUCGACUCCUCGAUUUCCGCAAAAGCUAACGGAUCAUGGACAAUCAGUCUA